rnacentral:lncRNA from 1 species
CCCGCCUCCACGCUGGGAAAGGAGGAAGGAAGCGCGAAGCGCCGGGCAGGGGCAGGGGAGAGCGCGGCCCGGCGCCCUGGGCCCGCCUCGGCGCGCAGCCGAGCCCGGCGGCUCUGCCUUUGUUCGCCUCCCUUCGUGGCACGGCCAAGGCAGGGCGCUGGGCCAGAGCCCCUCGCGCUCCCCGCACCUCGACGCCCCUGCCACCGUCGUGUGUGCUCCCCGGCUUUCCCGGCCCCGCCAGAGCGUGCGGGUUGUCCCUCCCGAGGGCACUGCCACCAGCGGGCCCUGUGCAUGAGGAGGGGGCCUGCUCCCCAUCAGCGCUGCCUUCAGAGGCCUCCGCCCCGGCGCUGCAUCUGCCGCCGCCUGGACGUGCCGUGAGUCAAAGCGUAACGUAACUGAAGUCGCUCCUGCCAGGAGCACACAUCCCCAAUACAGCAUUUCCGCUGGGACCAGGCUGUGUCCACUUUCUCCUACCUGAAUCCUCAUGGAAAUGUAUGAAGGAAAUCAGCGGCAGGAAGACAAGGCAGAAUGGAGCGUAGAAGAGGAGGAUCCUUUUGUUAUAAAAAUUUGGUUGAUUAUUCCAUUAUCAGCAAUGAUCUUGGUCGUAUAUGUGCAUUUGCAGUAUCGAACAUUGCAAAGCCAGGAGGGUUCAUCUGUGGUCAGUUUGGGGCUUCUUCAGUCUAAACAUACUCGGUUGCUAUUCCAGAAUCCUUCUGUGAUCAAAUUUCAAAUAAAUCUAAAUAUAAAAUCAGAGAAAAAGGGGACACAAAAAAAGACUGAGAGAAUUGGUCUUCUUUUGUCUAAAGAGAAGACUCCCAUGCCAGCAGUCUUUGGGCAUUUGAACAAUUGUGGGAAAGAGGAAGGCAAUAAUUUCUCUCCAUUGCCACAGUGAAGGGAACAAGCAGUAACAGACUCACACCUUAGUAAGAAAACUGCAGAACACAUCACAGAAAAAAACUAUCUAAUGGCAAAAACAGUAACUAAGGGCCUGGGAGGUGGCAAUGUCUCUAUCAUUGGAGCUUUCUUAAAAGCAAGUUCUGCAGACAUCUCUUGGGACAUAGAUUUUAUAUUUAGAUUUAUUUGAAAUUUGAUCACUAACUGGGAAAAUAGGACUGAAAAGGAAUUUGAGCCAUCAUGUGAUUUAGCCCCUGCCCCAAGAUUGGAUGCUGAUUGGCAAUAUCUAUGUCCUAAGAGGUAGUUUUUUUCUAUGAUCUGUUUCUAGACCUCCAGUUGUUCUCAGUGCCCUUCUCUGGACGCAGUUAGUCCCACGUUUCUCGAGCUGUGGAAGCCCUGAGGGAUACAGUAUUCUGGCCAACACCGUAUUCUGCAACACUACUCUGCAGGGCAGAAGGGGAACUUUUACAUGUCUUAAAGGUUUGUAGGAGGGUUCCUGCAUUUAUAUUGCAGCAUGGCACUUGCCUUUUUUUCACAGCUGCGUGACACUGUUAACACUUGUUCAGGUGUUGCACACCCUAUAGUUCCCAGGCCUCUUCUGCAGAACUGCUGCUCUGCCUGUCCUUCCUCACCCACGGUGUGUGCACCCUGGUGAGGUGCACCCACACAUCCAGAUCAUUCUGAAUUCUGAUCACCUCUCCUCACCCCAUCAACACUUUCCAGAGAAGAACUGGAGAGAAAUAAAGGCAGGACUGCUAGAAAGAGCUACUGGUGG